UACGAAGGGGGCUAGCGUUGCUCGGAAUCACUGGGCGUAAAGGGUGCGUAGGCGGGUCUUUAAGUCAGGGGUGAAAUCCUGGAGCUCAACUCCAGAACUGCCUUUGAUACUGAAGAUCUUGAGUUCGGGAGAGGUGAGUGGAACUGCGAGUGUAGAGGUGAAAUUCGUAGAUAUUCGCAAGAACACCAGUGGCGAAGGCGGCACUCUGGGACGGUACUGACGCUGAGACGCGAAAGCGUGGGGAGCAAACAGG
rnacentral:rRNA from 1 species